AGGACGAACGCUGGCGGCGUGCUUAACACAUGCAAGUCGAACGGAAAGGCCCUUUCGGGGGUACUCGAGUGGCGAACGGGUGAGUAACACGUGGGUGAUCUGCCCCUAGCUCUGGGAUAGCUCCGGGAAACCGGGAUUAAUACCGGAUAUGACCACUUUAGACAUCUGCUGUUGUGGAAAGAAUUUCGGCUAGGGAUGAGCUCGCGGCCUAUCAGCUUGUUGGUGGGGUAACGGCCUACCAAGGCGACGACGGGUAGCCGGCCUGAGAGGGCGACCGGCCACACUGGGACUGAGACACGGCCCAGACUCCUACGGGAGGCAGCAGUGGGGAAUAUUGCGCAAUGGGCGAAAGCCUGACGCAGCGACGCCGCGUGGGGGAUGAAGGCCUUCGGGUUGUAAACCCCUUUCAGCAGGGACGAAGCGAAAGUGACGGUACCUGCAGAAGAAGCGCCGGCUAACUACGUGCCAGCAGCCGC
rnacentral:rRNA from 1 species